GGAGUUAGCCGGUGCUUCUUCUGUGAGUGAUGUCCUUCCUGCCGGCUAUUAACCCGCAGGCCUUCUUCCUCACUGAAAGUGCUUUACAACCCGAAGGCCUUCUUCACACACGCGGCAUGGCUGGAUCAGGGUUGCCCCCAUUGUCCAAUAUUCCCCACUGCUGCCUCCCGUAGGAGUCUGGGCCGUGUCUCAGUCCCAGUGUGGCUGAUCAUCCUCUCAGACCAGCUACGGAUCGUCGCCUUGGUGAGCCGUUACCUCACCAACCAGCUAAUCCGACAUAGGCUCAUCCGAUAGCGCGAGGCCCGAAGGUCCCCCGCUUUCCCCCGUAGGGCGUAUGCGGUAUUAGCCUGGGUUUCCCCAGGUUAUCCCCCACUACCGGGCAGAUUCCUAUGCAUUACUCACCCGUCCGCCGCUCGCCACCAGGGAGCAAGCUCCCCGUGCUGCCGCUCGACUUGCAUGUGUUAGGCCUGCCGCCAGCGUUCAAUCUGAACACGAUCGAAAUUCAAGCCUGAACUCGGGGACUCGGGGGCCUAAGGGGCCGAACGGCGUACGA
rnacentral:rRNA from 1 species